GAUGAAGAACGUAGUGAAAUGCGAUAAGUAAUGUGAAUUGCAGAAUUCAGUGAAUCAUCGAAUCUUUGAACGCACAUUGCGCCCAUUAGUAUUCUAGUGGGCAUGCCUGUUCGAGCGUCAUUAAGUCCACUUAAGCCCUGCUUAGUGUUGGGAGACUGCUCCAGCGGUGCUACCCUGUAGCUACCCUGCAGCUCCUCAAAGACAGCGGCGGAGUUGUGGUAUCCUCUGAGCUUAGUAACUUGUUCUAGCUUUCGAGUACACCACUUCCCCUGCCGUAAAACCCUUAAUUUUUAAUGGUUGACCUCGGAUCAGGUAGGAAUACCCGCUGAACUUAAGCAUAUCAAUAACCGGAGGA
rnacentral:misc_RNA from 1 species